GACGAGGUAGCCGAGUGGUUAAGGUGAUGGGCUGCUAAUCCAUUGUGCUCUGCCUGAAUGGGUUCAAUUCCCAUCCUCGUCG